UGGGGAAUAUUGGACAAUGGGCGCAAGCCUGAUCCAGCCAUACCGCGUGAGUGAAGAAGGCCUUCGGGUUGUAAAGCUCUUUCGGCCGGGAAGAAAUCGCAUGGGUUAAUACCCUGUGUGGAUGACGGUACCGGAAUAAGAAGCACCGGCUAACUACGUGCCAGCAGCCGCGGUAAUACGUAGGGUGCGAGCGUUAAUCGGAAUUACUGGGCGUAAAGCGUGCGCAGGCGGUUUAGUAAGACAGGCGUGAAAUCCCCGGGCUCAACCUGGGAACUGCGCUUGUGACUGCUAAGCUAGAGUACGGCAGAGGGGGGUGGAAUUCCACGUGUAGCAGUGAAAUGCGUAGAGAUGUGGAGGAACACCGAUGGCGAAGGCAGCCCCCUGGGCCGAUACUGACGCUCAUGCACGAAAGCGUGGGUAGCAAACA
rnacentral:rRNA from 1 species